UACGUAGGGGGCAAGCGUUUGUCCGGAAUCAUUGGGCGUAAAGCGCGUGUAGGCGGUUCGGUAAGUCGGCUGUGAAAGUCCAGGGCUCAACCCUGGGAUGCCGGUCGAUACUGCCGGACUAGAGUUCGGAAGAGGCGAGUGGAAUUCCUGGUGUAGCGGUGGAAUGCGCAGAUAUUAGGAAGAACACCGGUGGCGAAGGCGACUACCUGGCCUGUUCUUGACGCUGAGGCGGCGAAAAGCUAGGGGAG
rnacentral:rRNA from 1 species